GACGAACGCUGGCGGCGUGCUUAACACAUGCAAGUCGAACGGAACGGCCCUGCUUUUGUGGGGUGCUCGAGUGGCGAACGGGUGAGUAACACGUGAGUAACCUGCCCUUGACUUUGGGAUAACUUCAGGAAACUGGUGCUAAUACCGGAUAGGAGCUCCUGCUGCAUGGUGGGGGUUGGAAAGUUUCGGCGGUUGGGUAUGGACUCGCGGCUCAUCAGCUUGUUGGUGGGGUAGUGGCUUACCAAGGCUUUGACGGGUAGCCGGCCUGAGAGGGUGACCGGCCACAUUAGGACUGAACUACGACCCAGACUCCUACGGGACGCAGCAGUGGAGAAUAUUGCACAAUGGACGGAAGCCUGGUGCAGCGACGCCGCGUGCGGGAUAACGGCCUUCGGGUUGUAAUCCGCUUUCGCCUGUGACGAAGCGUUAGUGACGGUAAUGGGUAAAGAAGCACCGGCUAACUACGUG
rnacentral:rRNA from 1 species